UCUCAGGGAACCAAGGACAAAUUUCU
rnacentral:piRNA from 1 species